rnacentral:rRNA from 1 species
GACGAACGCUGGCGGCGUGCCUAAUACAUGCAAGUAGAACGCUGAAGGAGGAGCUUGCUUCUCUGGAUGAGUUGCGAACGGGUGAGUAACGCGUAGGUAACCUGCCUGGUAGCGGGGGAUAACUAUUGGAAACGAUAGCUAAUACCGCAUAAGAGUAGAUGUUGCAUGACAUUUGCUUAAAAGGUGCAAUUGCAUCACUACCAGAUGGACCUGCGUUGUAUUAGCUAGUUGGUGGGGUAACGGCUCACCAAGGCGACGAUACAUAGCCGACCUGAGAGGGUGAUCGGCCACACUUGGACUGAGACACGGCCCAGACUCCUGCGGGAGGCAGCAGUAGGGAAUCUUCGGCAAUGGACGGAAGUCUGACCGAGCAACGCCGCGUGAGUGAAGAAGGUUUUCGGAUCGUAAAGCUCUGUUGUAAGAGAAGAACGAGUGUGAGAGUGGAAAGUUCACACUGUGACGGUAUCUUACCAGAAAGGGACGGCUAACUACGUG